UAGUAUUUUGACUAUACAAAGGUAUUGAAAUAAGACUUUAAUUGAGUGCUAAGAGAAUGGAAAUACAGAAAAAUUCUUUCUUGAAUUCAAAAAUUGAAGUUAUUUUUAUAUGUGAAGAAACAAUAAUGAAAAUUAUUGACAAGAAGACCCUAAGAAUUUUUUUAAUUUAAUUAAAAAAUUUUUUAAUUAAAUUCUUUAAUUGGGGCGAUUAAUAAAAAUUAAAAACUUUGUUUUUUUAAAAAAGAACCAAU
rnacentral:rRNA from 1 species